AAUAGGAAAGCACAACACAAAAAGAGGAAACACAACAACAUUAACCAUUGUGUUUUCUUUUCUUAUUUGCUGUUGUGUUUUCUCUUUUUGAGUUGUGUUUUCUUUU